UAGUACGUCGUACGUGUGCAUUCGCGCGCGUACACACACCUCCGUCCGUCGCAAUCGCGGCACGAAUUUUAUUCGGAACAAAAUUACAAAUACGUGAUAACGCUCCACGGUCCGGGGCGGUCCGACUAUUUUGUUUUUGUUUUCAUCUUAGUGCAAUUUUCGUUUAUUUUGUUUUUUGUUUUUUUUUUUUAAAUAUUAUUCCUCUGUUUACAUUACGCUAAUUAAUUUAAAUAUUUAUAUCUACUUGUUUUGUUUAUAAUAGUAAACACACACUCAAUAUAUUUAUUUAUAUAUUAUAAUAAUAAUGUGUGUAAGGGCCCGUUCAGUUUACGGUCCCCGAAAUGAUUUCAUCACACUGCCUGCAGUAAUAUCCAAGUAACUAAACAAAAAAUCAUGAUUACUAAGCUUAGUUUCAUUUAAAAUGCACUUCUAAUCUUACCAGAAUGUUGGUUCAAUGCCUUUUUGGAAUAACAGAGUAGCUUCAGAAUCAUAAUUUACCAGUACCAAUCGUGAUGUUCAAUUUUAUGAAAAAAAGUUCUGGUUCCCACAAUGUGGUGAAUAAUGGAAGUAGUUCUGGAUAUGGGUCACAGGGUUCAGCCAAUAACCAAACUGAAGAAAAAGAGCAAAGAAAAAAAAUGAAAAAAAUGCGUAAAGACAAGGAAAAGAAAGAAAAAGGUUUCAGCAUGUCUUCUGAUGAUUUGUUAAGAUUGGAUGAGGUGAGAAAAUCAUUAAAACUACGUACAAGGCGUAAAGAAAAACAAAAGUUGCCUAGUGGAAUAACCGCAGAUUACAGUGCCAACUUUUUUGCUCCAUUAAAUCGCGAUGAGACUGAUGAAUCUGUUCAAACCCCUCCUCUUCCACCCCGCAGAGGUAUUCUUAAACCUCCACCAAUUUUAGAACAUGGACCAUUACAGGAUCUUGAUUCAGAUUCUCUUCUACAAACUAAUACAUUAAAAAAUGAAUUAAUCGUAUAUGAAAAUGUUCCAAGAGUAUUAAGUAUUGACAGUCUAACAGACUCAACAACAAAUAGCAGUUUUGCUACACCGUUUAACCUUAGUCCUUCUGGCAAUGAUUAUUUAACUGAUGAGUUUGAUGAAAACUUAAAACUCCCAUAUGUUCCAAUUGUUAAGAUAGAACCUCGAAUAUUGACCAUUAAUAGAAGAGCAGGCCCUGGUAGUGAUUUUGGUUUCUCUUUAAGACGUGGUCUUGUAUCAGAAAAUGCAGCAAAAAGUUUGAAACCAGUGAUUUUUGCUGAACCAGGACAAGAUAAAACACAUUACACUGGACUUCUUCCUGGGGAUAAAUUACUAGAAGUAAAUGGUAGUCCUGUUUCUGAUAAAAAUAGAGAUGAAAUUAUUGAUAUGAUCAAGUCAUCAGAAACAAGUGUAACUGUCAAGGUAGAGCCAGCUUUGGAGCUUUAUGAAUUGAGUCAAACAUAUUUAAGCAGUCAAAAGGGAAACAAUUUAGUUUCAAAGUCGGAACCGGAAUCAAAUGAUUCGCCAACCGAAUUAAAUUCACCUGAUACUGAUGCUUAUUGGUUAGUCCACAAUGAAGGAUUUUCGCCUGUACAAUAUACAAGGAAAAAAACUUCUGACGGUUCAUCAAAAGUAUUGGUUAAGGUGUUUGGUGGUAAAGAAUAUAACGUGGACGAAGAAAGCCUAGAAAAGAUGAAUCCAGUAAAAAUGCAGUUGACUGAAGAUUUAUCACAGUUAAAUUAUUUAAAUGAGUCUAGUAUUUUAAAUGUAAUACGCAGUAGAUAUACUUCAAAUCUUAUCCACUCAUAUGCUGGACCCACGAUGCUAGUUAUUAAUCCCGGAUCUCCAUUAAAUUUAUACACUGAUAAGGUUAUGCAUAUGGUUAAAAAUCUUCAUAAGAUUAAUAAACAACCACCACCUCAUGUUUAUGCUAUGGCUCAAUCUGUAUACAUGGCAGCUGUAACUACACGUCGUGAUCAGUCUUUAAUUCCUAUGGGAUGUCAAUCAAGUGGAAAAUCAACUUCAUGUAAACAUUUAUUAAAAUACCUUGUACAAACAGCAGUAUCUCCUAAUAAGGUUGUUACUCUUGAAAAGAUUGAAGCUAUGUGGACAGUUUUAGAAGCUUUUGGAAAUGCGGCGACUGCAAAUAAUCCAAAUGCUACUAGAUCUGUACAUUUAUAUAGCAUUGACUUAGAUCAAGGUGGACAAAUAGCAUCAAUGUCCAUUCAAAUGCAUUUUUAUGACAAAUGGAGGCUCAUUGAUCAUCCUCCUAAUGAAUUCUCUUUUCAUGUAUUCUAUUACUUAUUAGCUGGCAUAGAAAAUAUUCCUGCACUACGCAAAGAAUUAUAUUUAGAUCAAAUCAAUGAUGAUUUGAAGGGAGUUGAUAAAAAUCAAGCAGCUGUGGAAUUCACUAAUCUUCAAUCUGCUAUGAUGAUUCUUGGAUUUUCAAACACUGAACUCAAAGCAAUUUAUGCUGUGUUAGCUGCAAUUAUACAUCUUAGUCACACAAAAAUAGUUAAAAAAGAUAGUAUAUUUAAAGAUAAAGUACAAUGGACUUGGAGCAAUUCCGAUGCAGCAAAACGAGCUGCAAAAUGUCUUGGCGCAGGAAAUUCUGAUGAUUUGUUUAGCUUGGUAUUUCCAGAUGUUGAGAUAUUUAUUGAAUGUGAUAUUGGUGACCAACUAAAUGCUUUGAUUGUUGGACUGUAUACAGAGACAUUCAACCUUGUAGCAUCAAUUAUUAAUCGUAAACUAGCUCCAUCUAUCCAUUCUCUUUGUUCUAUUAUAAUUCCAGAUUAUCCAGGAUAUAUUGUUAAGUCAAAGUCUGCAUUAACCAUGUUUGAUUUUUGGACAAAUUAUCUUCACGAGCGACUGUUAUCAAGUUAUCAUAAUUAUGCUGUUGUUGCUCCAUUAGAAAAAUAUAAGAUAGAAAAGGUAGAAACAGCUGCUAGUUAUGAAGCUGAGUUUUGUGCUGAAGACCACAUGUUAAAAUUAUUUAUUGGAGCUAAAGGAGCUGUUGGCUUUGGUCGCAGUUCAUCAAUGGUAGAUUUAAAGCCUGAACCAUGCCCUGGCUUAUUGAGAAUUCUUGAUGAUACAGCUGGUGAUACUAAUUCAAAUGAUCAAGAUCUUAUUGAAAAAAUCCAAAAUAUAUCUAAUGAUAAAUCAUUUUCAAAUAUUCUAAAGAACGGUAACAAACCCAAUGAGUUCACUUUGGUUCAUUUUCGUGAAACCAUUCCAAUUACAUAUAAUAUUAAUGGAUGGAUAAAUAUGUGUCGUGAUGGUAUGGCAAAGACAGCAAUAGCACUACUCCAUGACUCAUCCAAUAUUGAUAUUUCAACUGUAUUCUCCAAAAAUCGAGGUGCCGGUCUUACAAGUACACUAGCAAUUGUAGACGGAACCCAAUCAUUAAGACGCAUGUCUAGUAUUCGACGGGCUACAUUUGGUAGUCUCAGUACCGCAGCGACACUGAAAAGAAAAUUAACGUGUGUUCAAAUAAGAUUUGCGGUGGAUGGACUAGUUGAAACUUUGCGAAGGACUGGACAGCACUUUAUUCAUUGUUUUAUUGCACAACAUGAAGCUGGUUUUACUAACCGCACUGAUGUUGCAGCUACUAGAGUUUUUAAUUCCAUGUAUAAAUUUCAGUCCAUCACGUUGAGCCCUAAUUCCAACAAGCCUAAUCCAGAACCUGUUGACAUACCACUUUUAAGACAACAAAUGCGUGGAGCUGAUAUUUUACCUACUAUUCGGUUUUAUAAACAAGGAUUUCCAAUUUCUAUGUUUAUUGCUGAAUUUAUUCGCAAGUUUGCUGCAUUUCUGCCUACUAAUUUAAAAACUGAUGAUUCAAAUAACACAAUUAAAGAUCACCGACAAUGCGUUUCUGAGAUUAUGAGCAAAGCUGAUAUAGAUGAAUCUUUGUACAAAAUUGGAAUUAAUCAAAUAUUUUUCCGUGCCAAUGUCUUACAAACUCUCGAAACUCAGCGAGACGAAAAGUUAUCUGGCAUCUUUACUCAGUUACAAGCCCGUUGUCGUGGAUAUCUUGCUCGAAAAGACUACGCUAAACGAAAAGUAAACGACAUCGCUGUACGGUGCAUACAGCGAAAUGUUAAAAAGUUUAUGGUUGUAAGAGAUUGGCCAUGGUGGCGGCUUUUGGUCAGAAUCACACCUUUGCUUAACGUCCAUCGGACCGAAUACGAACUGAAACAAAAAUCUGACGAACUUGAGCAACUGAGGAAUAAAGUGGACAAGUUGGAGCAGGAACGGUCACAGUUGAAAAUGGAUAACGAUAGACUCGAACAGAGACUGGCGGAAACAACUGGUGACUUAGCCGAGGAGCAUUCCACAGUAACUAUGGUGUCUGAGCGGUUACAGUUUGAAUCGGCUGAAAGACAACGUCUAGAAAAAGAACUACUGGAGACACAGACCGUCAAAACCCGGUUGGCUGAAACUAAUGAACAAUUGGAAAUGCAGCUGCUGUGCAUGAGGUCCACUGAUCCUUCGUUAAUGUCAUCGUCGUCGUCUGUAGCCGGAACAAUGAGUGAUGACGAUAGUGCUGUAGCGAAUAGCGAUAAGGGUGACCAGUAUUAUAGACGACGAUAUGAACGCGUUUGUCGUGAAUUAGAGUAUGCUAAGAAGCGAUUACAACAACAGCAUAAUGACGAUAUGGAGCAACUAUUGGCCAUGAAAAAACAGCUUGAAAAAAAAUUGGCUGGUGUUUACGAAGACGUAGAAGAACAACGUCAAAUUGUUGCCCAAUGGAAACGAAAAGUUAAUAAGCUGAAUUCUGAAUCAAACGACCUCAAACUUAUGUUAGAAGAAAGCAACUCAAGAAAUAAUUUACUCGAAAAGAAACAAAAAAAGUUCGAUACAGAGUUGCAUUCAUUACAAGAGGAAUUAAAAAAAGAAAAAGCUCUAAGAGAAAAAAUUACCAGAGAAAAAGACAUGGCCAUGUCGGACAAAUUUUCAAUGGAGCAAACUUUAAGUAGUGUCAAGUUGGAGUUGGAGCUUAAAGAACAAAAAGUCGUCGGCUUGAACCGCGAGCUACAGGAGUUGACGUUUAGCGGCAACACCGAGGAAGAAGUCGCCGCACUCAAGCGAUCCAAACACCAGCUGGAGAGUAAACUCAAAGACCAAGAAGAAGAACUUGAUGAUCUUGCUGGCCAGGUGCAGUUACUGGAGCAGGUGAAAACUCGUCUGGAGAUGGGACUCGAACAGGAAAGGAAGGAACAUCGAAGAGAGUUGGCUCAACGCGAACAAGAGAACGAGGAGACUCGGUGUUCGGCGGCAAAAAAGAUCAAGGCUCUGGAAUGCGAGAUCGAAAACGAGCAUGAAGAGAGGACGGCGCUGAUCCGGGAGCGUCAUGACCUAGAGAGACGACUGGUCGACUCCGAGGACAGAGAACGAUGUCGGAGCAUGAACGACCAGGAAUCGAUUUCCCGUCUCCGUCGGGACAUAAAGAAGCUCAAGGCGUUGCUUAGAGACGCACAGACGGUGCAAGAACAACGGAGUGACAGCCAAGCGAACCGCAUAGCGAUGCGGCAGUUGAGAAAUCAGCUGGAAGACGCGGAGAGCGCUAGGGACUCGGCGCUCAAGGCCCGGGCCCUGGCUGAAACUGAUUUGGCGGAGGUGACUGCUUCGUUGGACGAAGCGCAAGCUGCCAAACGUACGGCCGAGGAGCGCGCUGCCGGUCUUGCUCGAGACAAGAACCACCUACAGGGCCAGCUGGAUGAGAACGAAGAGGAGCUGGCUGAAGUACUGAAGAAGUACCGGGGUACGGUGCAACAGCUGAGUGCCGAGCAGACGGUGCAACAGGAACAGGCAAGUCGCAUCGCCGAGCUGGACACGGAUCGGGCCAACUUGCAGGAGCGGCUGGCUGAGCUGACGUUCCGGUUAGACAACAUGGAGACGCACGGUGACCCGGCCGGAUCGCUGAACCUGAAGCGGCUGCAGCUCCGUGUCACCGAGCUCGAGUCCAAGUUGCAGCUAGAGCUGACCACCCGGACCCGACUGGAGGUGCAGAUAGCCCGGCUGAAGGAGACCGUCGACCGGUUGGAGUCCGAACGAGAGACGGCUCAGUGCAAGGAGAACGCCGCACAGGAGGCGGUGCGCAAAAUGCAGCGGUCGUUACGGGAGGCCCGGGAGUCGAUGGCCGAGAAGGAGUCCCGGGAGUCAGCGGACGUGAACCGCAAACGGGCGCUGGAAAAGCGAGCCGAACAGGCAGAGUCUGAGGUGAGCACCGUCAAAUCUGAUCUGGCGCUGGCGCUGCAGCGCAUCGACGACUUGCAGGCCGCCAUGACUGGUGAUCUGGAUGACGAUGACGACGAGUUCCGGUCGAGCAGUGAUGACGACGACGACGGUGGGGACGGCGAUAGCGACGACUCGGUAACCACGUUCUUAGCCAACCAGGGCGCGAGGAACACCACGAUCCUACAGCAGCAAAAAAACGUGGAUUCAAAUAAUUGAUGACUAGUAAAUUUCCUGAAGAGUUUGCACCAAAGUAUUAUUUAAAUACAAUUUUAUUAUAAAUCAUGUAUGUAAAACAGUUACUUAAUAGUUAAUUGGCACCAGGCACCAGCGACCAGGUAUCCGCGUUUAAGGAAAGUACACGAGUUGUGAAGUAUU
rnacentral:misc_RNA from 1 species